rnacentral:misc_RNA from 1 species
AUUUGAUUGCUCUAUUGCCAAUUAGUAAGCAAUAUUCAAGAAACUUUAUUUUGAAUUUCAUACUCAUUCAACAUUAGUGUUGCAUAAAUAUGACAAGGAAAACUAUAUGUAGCAGGAGCCGAAGCUUAUGGACUUCAAGUGGAUGGAUCAUUUGCGUUUUAGAGCAAUAAAUAGAAGAGUUGUUUCAGUUGAGGUGGCCUUUAGUUUUUCUGCCGCCUUGUUGGGAAAACGAUCAAACAAUUCAUCUAUAGUCUCACUUGCAAAAUGCUUGCUAAAAACACCCUCCAAUCCAGCCCUGAAGUGCAUCUUCCAUGCAUGGCCGCUGCGCAAGAUUUGCGCUUCAUUGCCAGGUACAGGGUCAAAUAGCUCCAUUCGCUCAAUUUUGAAGCUCCCAUUUCUUUCUACAAGCUCUAUCAUCUCCUUGGGAGAGGGAACAUACAUAGGCAAAUUGAAAGAGUCCACUUGAGCUUCGCUCACCAAUCCCUCUUUACACAUAUCCAUGAGGCAGGAUCCUAAAAGAUCGAGCAUCACAUUAACUAC